UCGACGUGUAAUAUCUGCGGCAACGGGGCGGAGGAUGAACAUCAUGCAGUGAUCACAUGCUCAAAGAGCAGGGCCCUCCGAGAGGCCAUGAGGAAGGAGUGGACACUAUCAUCAGAGAAAUAUUUCAGAAAUACAGGAACUGACUGGCUGCAGGUCCUGCUAGACAGAGAACCUGAGGAAAUGCGGUCAAAAAUCUUACUCCUGUUGUGGAGGUGCUGGCACCUGAGAGAGGACAUAUUACGACACAACGGCAAAGAAUCUAUCUUGGGCUCUGUACAAUUCCUGAAGAAAUACGUCGAGGAGUUAGUGGAUAAAACAUGCUGCAUACGGGGACAAAGCAUGCAGUGGACGGGACCAGUACAAGGCACGGUUAAGCUGAAUACCGACGCAACAUUCCAAGCCGAUUCAGGCGAAUCCGCUGCUGGAGCAGUCGCCAGGGACAGCAAAGGCCAUGUGGUUGUCUCACUCUGCAGAAGCCUGUCAGCUAGCCGAUGCGUCGAGGAGGCCGAAGCGAAAGCUGCACUUACUGGGCUGCUUACUCUGGCAAAGUAUUACAAAGGCCCUCUGAUACUGGAGAUGGACUGCCAUGCAAUCAUAAAAGAACUAGCAGUAUGGGGACAGCCUCGGUCCCAAUGCUAUGCUUUGAUCAAGGAUAUUAAACAAGCUCUAUCCGUGUUUGCGAGCUAUAGUUUUAACCAUGUGGGAAGAUCAUGCAAUGAGCUAGCCCACGGGCUUGCUGCGGCCACAAGAACUGCAGGCGAUCAGGAGAUCUUUGCCAACGUACCGGAAGGACUCGGACCACUGAUGGUGUCUGAAUAUGUACCUCCUGUAGAGUAG
rnacentral:rRNA from 1 species